GAACAGGUUCACAGGCUCCCGCGGGAAGGAAAUGUAUUGAUGCUGGCCAUGGCCGUUUCCUCAUAGGAGCCAUUGGGCUUCAACGUGUGCUGAGAGCUGCUCAGGGGCACUUGCUCUGGAGCCAAGGCAAACGACAACUUCCUCACUGAUUUUCGUUACCUCAGAGCCUUCCAGAACGUUCCCAUUAGGCAAGGCUCUAUGUUAAAUUAAACCCCACUCGCAGUAAUUUAAGGGGACUGCUACACGGCUGGGAUCUGAAGCAAGCACGAAAGUUGGACCCCCCAGUCAUCAGCCAAGUGAUGGAAAAGUUCUGUCCCAAAAGCCACCUGUCAGAUGCACAAGUCACACCACAUCACUGCUGUUGGAGAGCCUGGCAGCAACACUGGCUCGCUGUCCUGUGCUUCCUCUCUGUUUUAUGAAGUGCUUGACGCCUCCUCUGUGCACUGGACUCAGCAGUCACUUAAAGGGAGAGGAGCAGCCCUUGCUACCAAGGCUCACACUUCUCUCCUCUCGCACCUGGAGGAAUCAGGGAGCUCCUCAGACCCAUGGGCCACACCUGACUGGCAGAGCCAGUGUCGACGUGAAGAAGCACUGAACACAAUGCCCGUUGCAGCUCACACACUUCCCUUCCAUGGCAGGUGCUAUGGCCAGGGCCCUCAGAGGAUCCGGGGCACCUCGGGCAGUCACUGGCCGAUGACAGAAACAACUCUGCUUGUCCUUGAAGCUGUCUAAGCAAUGUGGUCACUGUUUGCUGGGGCACCUGAGGGGCAGCUGCUGAGGAGGGCUGAACAAUUGGGAGCCCCGCUUCUGCCUGGAGAGGCUGCUGGACCUUGGGAUGGUGAACACACACAGGGACCUGAGGACACAAGAGCUUUGAGCUCUGGGUGUGUUGCCAAAACAGUUCUAUCAGGCCAUUUGAGAGCUCACAUGGUCUUUACACAUCAUUAAAACUGAAUAAAAGUAACUUGUGGCAUAACUGCCGUGUUCAGCAGUUAGGUCCCUCUUUCCCUACCAGGGCCAUGAAGGCACUGCUUAGUUUCUUAAGCACUCUAUUCCUGUGGCAUCCUUGGCUUGGAGAGUGAGUACAGAAGGGACUGCUUCACUUAGCAUCGGCAUCAGUAACUGCCAGAUCCUGCCAAGUGUUGGAGUUUUGUUCCGAGAACACUCUGUGAUGAAUUUUGAUUCCUCUCGGUGGACUGCAAAAACAAGAGAGAGCCUAAUUCAAAAGCUGUUUAUAUUAGUUAUCGAUCAUUUUCUGUAAACCA
rnacentral:lncRNA from 1 species